CUGAAGGCUGCUCCCGCCCCGAGGUGGGGGAGGGGCGCCUUGCGCCUCUGAUCGCCUCCAUUCUUCUGAUAGCCGGAGUGCCAAUUAUUUUAAUGGUAAUUAAAAUAAUGACCUUAAAAUGCCUACAUCUUACCCUGCAUCACGGGCUCACAGCCAUUGGUUUCCAUUUAAAUACCUGCUGCUGGAGGGGUGGUCAGCCCCGCAGGCCACAGCAGCCGAAGCAGCAGCAGCAGCAGGAAGCUGGGUGGUCCUGAACCAGAGGGGGCUCUG
rnacentral:lncRNA from 10 species